ACAAGCCCAAAGAUACCUGUGGGGGCCCCAAGAAGGGAGGACCCGCGCUCUCCACCCCAGGGUGAAAGUCCCUGACUACGGCAGGACCGUGGAGCAGAAAAGGGGGAGCAGAAAACCCAUCUGCGUGCAGUCUGGGACAGAAAGCCUGGGACCCUGCACGGGAGAAGCAAGCGGCCACUUUCCUGGCUGGGCCAGGCGAGGAGAUGGAAUAAAGCUGGUCUGGAGUCUGUACCUGUGACUGAAAGGAUCUGGGCACGGUCCAGACCGGCAAGUCAUCCUUCUCUGCCUGUGUGUUCCUGCUGCCAAAACGUCUCACCGAACCCCAGGGGCCGCGUCAUCCAUCAGGCUGUCUCAUCGCGGCAGCUGGAGGACUCGGCAGGUGUCGGCCCAGAUCGGGGUUAAGGCGGCUACCUUGCCACCUGCCUCGCGCAUGCUUCGAGAAUCAUAAGGAAGAAUUUGUUCUGUGUCUUCCUAAAUACUUUGCAUGGAAGAGACUUAUGUCACAGCCGGAGGUUCAGGCACUGACCCUCAGUGUCCAGGUCGCAUUUCCGCCAGCUAGAACUUGAAGAUGACUGCCCUAUAGGAAAAUGGCUGGGCAGGUGGGGAUGCUAACCUCACGUAAAAUGAACCAGGCUAUAGAACUGUUGUUGUCACCACGGUGUUCGUGUCAAUGAGAUGAUUAAAACCUUGAACCAUCAAGGAUUUUAACUCUUUCAGUGUAAGUUGUAGACAUCCAAGUCGAGCAGGCUGAAACAAACAGACAAGCAAAAAUAGGGGGGAAAGGAAGCAAGGGAGGAGAAGGGGACUUACUAGCUCCUAGAACUGAAAGGUUCACGCAAGUUUCAGGUGUGGUUGGAUCCAGGAACUUUAACGACGUCAUCAGAACUCCAUCUUCCUGCCUCUUGCAUCUCUCUGUAGUAUGGCCUUCACGCUCUCGUGGAAUCUGCUCUCAGGAUGACAAGGCAGCCAAUAAAAGACCCAGGCUCGUAUCCUAAGAGCUCCACAACCAUAAUGGGAAGACUGUUUCUCUUUCCCAAUAGUUCCUGCAAAAUUGCCAUGGCUGAUUCACUGGGUGCAGUUUGGAACUUGGGUCAGUUCUGAAGCCCAGGUGAUGUUUGCUCAACCAGAAGACAGAGAGUGAGUGAGAAGAGCUGGAUUCUUCUGGUGAAGAAAGGAGAGUAGAUACCCCUGGGUAGCAUACCCCGAGGAGGAAAAUAAAUCGGAGACCAGGAA